CCUACGGGAGGCAGCAGUGGGGGAUAUUGCACAAUGGGGGAAACCCUGAUGCAGCGACGCCGCGUGUGGGAAGACGGUCCUCUGGAUUGUAAACCACUGUCCCCAGGGACGAAGAUGACGGUACCUGGGGAGGAAGCUCCGGCUAACUACGUGCCAGCAGCCGCGGUAAUACGUAGGGAGCGAGCGUUGUCCGAAAUUACUGGGUGUACAGGGAGCGUAGGCGGGACUGCAAGUUGGGUGUCAAAUCUACCGGCUCAACCGGUAGCCGCACUCAAAACUGCAGUUCUUGAGUGAAGUAGAGGCAGGCGGAAUUCCUAGUGUAGCGGUGAAAUGCGUAGAUAUUAGGAGGAACACCAGUGGCGAAGGCGGCCUGCUGGGCUUUGACUGACGCUGAGGCUCGAAAGUGUGGGGAGCAAACAGGAUUAGAUACCCGGGUAGUC
rnacentral:rRNA from 1 species